rnacentral:rRNA from 1 species
AUUGAACGCUGGCGGCAGGCUUAACACAUGCAAGUCGAGCGGAGAUGAGGUGCUUGCACCUUAUCUUAGCGGCGGACGGGUGAGUAAUGCUUAGGAAUCUGCCUAUUAGUGGGGGACAACAUUCCGAAAGGAAUGCUAAUACCGCAUACGCCCUACGGGGGAAAGCAGGGGAUCUUCGGACCUUGCGCUAAUAGAUGAGCCUAAGUCGGAUUAGCUAGUUGGUGGGGUAAAGGCCUACCAAGGCGACGAUCUGUAGCGGGUCUGAGAGGAUGAUCCGCCACACUGGGACUGAGACACGGCCCAGACUCCUACGGGAGGCAGCAGUGGGGAAUAUUGGACAAUGGGGGGAACCCUGAUCCAGCCAUGCCGCGUGUGUGAAGAAGGCCUUAUGGUUGUAAAGCACUUUAAGCGAGGAGGAGGCUGCUGAGACUAAUACUUUUGGAUAGUGGACGUUACUCGCAGAAUAAGCACCGGCUAACUCUGUGCCAGCAGCCGCGGUAAGAC